AUAUUCUGAUUUUUUAAAUUUUUUUAGUUUAUUAUAAUUUUUUAUCGGAGCUUUUAGAAUUAUCACAAUCAAGUUCUACAACCUAAUUUAGUUGGUUAAAUAUUACUAUAUCGCUAAUACAGAGAUGAUAUACAAAGUAAUGCGGUGAUUGAAGCUACGUUAAUAAUUAAGAUGCUGCAUUACUUUACAUCAACGAUGCAUUAAAAUUUAGGGUUAACUGCAUACAACACCUUACAAAUAUAGUGAAUUUAAAUAUAUCUCUGUAAAGUUCAGCUUUUAUAUAUUGUCUCUACAAAAGUUCUAAUAUUUUUCAAUAUGUCUCUCUGAUUUGUUACCGUUAUAGAACUGUUCAUAUUUUAAAUGAAAUGUCAUUUUUGUCAUCACAAAUAUGUCACUCCAUAUAGGAGGGGCAAAAAUAUCAAGUUAUCUCAUAAACUAACUAAGGUUAAGCAUUUAAUAUAUGGUUAACUAAAAUUUCCUAACGGAUUCUAAUGACAGGAACAUAUUUGAAAAUAUUAAGAUUUUUGCAGAAAUAACAUAUAAAAAUUGAACUUUGUAGGAUUAUAUUUAUAGUUCACUAUAUUUACAUGAACCCGUAUAAAAUUAACCCUAAAAUUUAAUCAACUAGAUUAAAUUAUGUAAAUUUAAUUAUAAUAAUUUUAAAAAUUUGAGUUAAAAAUUAUAUUAAAUUAAAAUUUGGGGAGUAAAACGUCAAAUGUCUUAUGGGACGGGGAUGCGUCAACAGAGGAGCCAGUCAAGCCGCGUCGUUGGUGGGGGCCACGCGUGCGUCCGCAGUGAUAAAAUUUAUUAUUAUUUGUGGCGUCACCUUCCGAUAUAAUUAAAAGGGUCCACCUCACUUGAGCUGGACUUCACUUGUUUUGUAAAUAACCCCUCAUAUAAUUAAGAGAAAAACUUUAAAAAACCCUAGUGGUUUCGCACUUUUUUUAUUUUAGUACCAUAUGAUUUAAAGUGUAUCAAGUUAGUACCUGUAGUUUUGUAGUUUCUCACUUUAAUACUCUGUGGUUUAAAGUGUAUCAAGUUAGUACCCUGUGAUUUUGUAGUUUCUCUUAGUACCCUAUGGUUUUAUUUUUGUAUCAAAUUAAUUUAUAUUUUUCUUAAUGAAUAUUAAACCACAGGGUACUAAAGUGAGAAAGUGCGAAACUACAGGGUACUAACUUGAUACACUUUAAACUGCAGGGUACUUAAGCGAGAAAGUGCGAAACUACAGAGUACCAACUUGAUACACUUCAAACCACAAGGUACUAAAGUGAAAAAAAGUGAAACCACAAGGAGGUAUUUGAAGUUUUCCAUAUAAUUAAAUAAGUUGCUUAUGGUUAUUUACCUUUUACUAACUAUUCAAAAUUUUUAAAUUUAUCUUCAAAUUAUAACAAAUCAUUCUAAAAUUUAAUUUUAUUAGCAAACCUUUUAAAAAUAAAAAUUUUUGAAGGAAUUUUUUAAAUUAAUUAACAAAGGUAUUUUGGUCCUAUAGGAUUUGUUAGAUAUUACUUCUAUUAAAAAAGGCCAAUUUGCAUAAAAAAUUCACUUAUUUUGGGCUUUUGCAAAACCGGAUCACCUUUUUCGUUUUUGCAGAUUCGGUCCGCUUUUUCAGCAAACUGACCAAAAUAUCCUUAUUA
rnacentral:lncRNA from 1 species